GACAGAGGUGCCAAGCGUUAGGCGGAAUCACUGGGCUUAAAGCGUGUGUAGGCGGACUUGUAAGUGCUUUGUGAAAGCCCUGGGCUCAACCCAGGAACCGCAGAGCAUACUGCAAGUCUUGAGGAAGCUAGAGGCGGGUAGAACGAUCGGUGGAGCGGUGGAAUGCGUAGAGAUCGAUCGGAAUGCCAAGGGUGAAGACAACCCGCUGGGGCUUUCCUGACGCUGAGGCACGAAAGCGUGGGGAUCAAACAGG
rnacentral:rRNA from 1 species